rnacentral:lncRNA from 1 species
GUGGGUGUGUGGGUGUGUGGGUGGCAAGGGGUGCGCUCCUUCCUCCUCCCACUCUAUCUCUUUCCCCUCCCCUUCCCCCGCCCUUCGGUGUGUAAGAACUAGCGAGCAAGAUUUGGCUUGCGGUGGUGGUGGUGGGGGCCCGGCGCGCCUGCGCAGGAAACAGCUGUCACCCUUUGCGGAACAACAAGUCAUACAAACCUCCCCCCUCCCCCCUGAGCCGGUAGGCGACCUUCCUCACUCCUCUUCCUUCUCCUCCUCGGGGGUCCCGGCCCCUCCCCCACCUCUCCCGCCGUGCCCGCGCGCCCAGUUUAUUGUUUUAUGGCUACGGUGAGACCUGGUUUCAAGCCGGACCUCUUACAACAUGAAGGUUUUAUCACCAUGGG